rnacentral:rRNA from 1 species
GUGAGGAAUAUUGGUCAAUGGGCGAGAGCCUGAACCAGCCAAGUCGCGUGAAGGAUGAAGGUUUUAUGAAUUGUAAACUUCUUUUGCAGGGGAAUAAAGUACGGUACGUGUACCGUUUUGUAUGUACUCUGCGAAUAAGGAUCGGCUAACUCCGUGCCAGCAGCCGCGGUAAUACGGAGGAUCCAAGCGUUAUCCGGAUUUAUUGGGUUUAAAGGGUGCGCAGGCGGGUUGAUAAGUCAGCGGUGAAAGUUUGCAGCUUAACUGUAAAAUUGCCGUUGAAACUGUCGAUCUUGAGUGCAAAUGAGGUAAGCGGAAUGUGUUGUGUAGCGGUGAAAUGCUUAGAUAUAACACAGAACACCGAUUGCGAAGGCAGCCUACUGGGAUGCAACUGACGCUCAUGCACGAAAGCGUGGGGAUCAAACAGGAUUAGAUACCCGUGUAGUCC